rnacentral:rRNA from 1 species
ACAGCAGUCGCCCGGUAAAACGUAGGGUGCAAGCGUUAAUCGGAAUUACUGGGCGUAAAGCGUGCGCAGGCGGUCCGCUAAGACAGAUGUGAAAUCCCCGGGCUUAACCUGGGAACUGCAUUUGUGACUGGCGGGCUAGAGUAUGGCAGAGGGGGGUAGAAUUCCACGUGUAGCAGUGAAACGCGUAGAGAUGUGGAGGAAUACCGAUGGCGAAGGCAGCCCCCUGGGCCAAUACUGACGCUCAUGCACGAAAGCGUGGGGAGCAAACAGGAUUAGAUACCCCCGUAGUCCCUGUCUCUUAUACA